rnacentral:rRNA from 1 species
CCCUUAGAUGUCCUGGGCUGCACGCGCGCUACACUGAUGUGUCCAGUAAGCACCUAACCUCUUCCGAAAGGAACGGGUAACCUUUGCAAAGCACAUCGUGAUGGGGAUAGAUUAUUGCAAUUAUUAGUCUUGAACGAGGAAUUCCUAGUAAGCACAAGUCAUCAGCUUGUGUUGAUUACGUCCCUGCCCUUUGUACACACCGCCCGUCGCUCCUACCGAUUGAAUGUUCCGGUGAGCUCUUCGGACUGCGCGGUCUGCAGUUUCUGCGUUCCGUGCGGAAAGUUGCGCAAACCUUAACAUUUAGAGGAAGGAGUAGUCGUAACA